CCUACGGUGAGCAGCAGUGGGGAAUAUUGCACAAUGGGGGAAACCCUGAUGCAGCGACGCCGCGUGAGUGAAGAAGUAUUUCGGUAUGUAAAGCUCUAUCAGCCGGGAGGAAAAUGACGGUACCUGACUAAGACGCCACGGCUAACAACGUGCCAGCAGCCCCGGUAAUACGUCGGGAGGAAGCGUUAUCCGGAUUUUCUGGGGGUAAAGGUGGCGUAGACGGCCAUACAAGUCCGAAGUGAAAGCCCCGGGCUUAACCCUCGGACUGCUUUUGAAACUGCCGGGCUUGAGGGCAGGAGAGGUAAGCGGAAUUCCUAGUGUAGCGGUGAAAUGCGUAGAUAUUAGGAGGAACACCAGUGGCGAAGGCGGCUUACUGGACGAUAUCUGACGUUGAGGCACGAAAGCGUGGGGAGUAAACAGGAUUAGAUACCCGUGUAGUC
rnacentral:rRNA from 1 species